UUUGAAUUCAGAUCUUUAUUAUACAGGCCCAAAGCUGUGGUCACCAUGCAGUUACACCGUAAUGGGAAUGAUCUUGCUGAAAGGAUCUCACCAAACAAAUUUAAAGAGACCACAGACUACAGCAUUCCAAAUAACUGGCACUUUGAUUUUUGAAAGAGCAAAAAUAAAUAGAGGAAUGGCAAGUAUGUCCUUUUCACACAUGUUGGGGCUUAAUAUAUAUUCCCUCUUUUCUAUAGCUAUUUUGGAGACAAAAUUAGCAAAUACUGCCCCCCAAAAUACUGACCUUUCAUGUGAGGGCUCAGGUAAGUUAGCUGUUUCUCUCUCCUUAGUUAUUUGAUCAAACAUAUUCUGAUAUGCCAAACCGAACACCAAGCCCACAAUGUAUUGUUGUUUUUUUCUUGUAUUGUUUUCCUACUUCCCACCCUUUCCUCCACCAUUCAAGACACUAACAGGGACUAAGUGGAGACAUUUAGUCAAAUAAAAGCCCUGAAACUUUUCCUUUCUAGUUUUCCAUGAUACUUAAGGAUACAUAAUUUAAGGAUCCAUCACAAAUCUAAAAAAGGUUCAGGUGCCUGACAAGUAAUUAAAAAUCUCUGGAAUAUAGAUAGUCACAGUGAAGAGCUGCACAUAGACUGCACACAUAGUGUUAUGUAAAAGUGGUUACCUUUAAAAAAACAACAUUUUUUUAAAAUCUGAAGACCAAAACAAAGCAUGUCUUAUUCCCUAGAGGAUUUUCUUGCAACCUGUUCUUCAAUUAUUUGCACUAGGAGAUGCUACAAAUGGUAUUAGUUACAAUAAUGUUGCCUUCUGGUCCAGCAGAAGAACCUUUCUCUCCGAUGGAUGCAAAACUGUUCAUCUGAGUAGAUCAUCCUCAACAGCACAAAUAUGGUCUAGAAACUCAUAGAGUUUAUGGUUUUAAUUUAUAAAAUUAAACCUGCGCCAGACAGGUAAUACUGGUAUGUAAGUUUGCCAUCCCUGGGUUCUGUCAGAAACGGGGUACUGAGGUGCUCAGAGCCGUCUCAGUCUGCAGCGCUGGGAUCCUUCUGGCACUUCAGACCCGAGAGGCGAUGUGAUGCAUGCUAGAACAUGGGCGCACGUCUCGCUUAACUCUGCAGAGCCAGGGGCAUGGUAAGCUGCCAGAACUUCCUUCAUCUUGCCUGUUGACAAAAGGAACAAUAACUAGUCAUCACUGGGUGCUGGAGUGUAAUUCCAACUUCUAAAAAGUCCUGUAAAUGAGACUGGUUUUUACUAGGCAAUAGCAAAUUUUCAUAAAUAACAAUUUUCUGAUGAGGUUUACCAUCUCUCAUAGGUUACCUAUGGGAUGCUUCUGAGGGAGAAAGGCGUCUUAGCUGGGUGGUUGCUAAACUAAUAGUGAGGAUUAAGCACACCACUAUUUUAAAAGCAUUAUUCAUUUUACCUUUCAUUGUCCAGUAGCUUAGCAUUUUAAAAUCUUCAUUGGGAUAUUAUGUAGCAGGUUCCCUCACCAAAAGUGCUGUAUUGUCUGUUAUGCACACUGAUACAGUGUAAAUAAUUCAGAGGAUUGUUAAAGAUUUAACGAGUAGGAAUCCUGUAGAUUAAUAAGUGACUUACCUAAGCCUGGUAUAUAACUACCUCUGACACAUAUUGCUCACGCUUGUUAUGCAUUGAUAGCAACUAUUAUUUGUUUAUGAGUGUUUCAUAAAUCACGCAUUCAAUGGGCUUCCCAGAAUUGUGGCUCAGGAAAGACCACUGGAUUUUCUACUCUGAUUUCCUGUCAAUUAUAUUUUAUCCAGAUAGUUCUCUAUGAAAUCCAUGUACCUCAGCUUUCCAAAAACCAAACCUUUACUAUCACAGACUGAGAAAAAGAAAGACCAAGCAUACCUCUGCAAUAUGUAGUUGCUACAGGAUAGGUACAAAGAGAGACAGAGGUAUCCUGGGAGGGUGAUUCUUCACUCUAGAUAAUAUCUAUUCUAUUUUCCAUUCGCUAUAACGAGACAGAAGACUGACCUUUCACAUGGCUACAAUUAAGUGUUUUGUAUGCUAUCACAGGGAUCUGACUGCAUCUAUCAGCUUAUUUCACAAAGACCAUCCACAAAGCCAUCAGACAGUAGUUAAUUUCAAUCAAUACUGACAUGAGCAAAAUUAGAAAAAGUUUAAUUGCUUCAAUCUGAUGUAAAUACAGAAGGCAUGCAGUAAAUUCCUGAAUUAUUAUUUUGCAUACUCUGAAAUUCUGGAGACGUCCAAAAUACUUUUUCUAUGUAUAGUUAUUACCCUCAUCAUUUUCACAUCCACAGAAAUCACUCAAGGAGCAGGGCUAACAGGUAAUUUAAUAGAUCACUUCAUCCAUCCCUGACCAAUGCUAUGUCUGCUGAUGUCUGACCUAUUUUUAAACUUCUGGAAGGCUGAAGAUUCUAUGAAUUCCCACAAAGCAAACUAUCCCAGAGCUCCUCUUUUCCUUGCCACUUAAUUUUUUUUCCUGAUGCUUACAUUAAAUCACUCCUGCUAUGAUUUAAGUCUAUUAUUCUUUUUCCAUACCAAUAGCAUUUAACCACCAUCAGUUAAAUCACUUCCUCUUCAAAGGCAACUAUUACUAUACAAAGGCUGCUACUAUGUCUUCCUUCCAUCUUCCUGUUUUUAGACUAAACAAUCCUUCAGUCUUCCCCUAAAGACCCACAUGUUUUAGACCUUUGACUAGGCUCAACAGCCUCUCCUUAAUGCUCUCUGGCUGAAUUGGAUCCUACUUGAGCAGCACGGUAAAGCACCGAGGCGUUAUCAGUAGUGAUUAAGAUAAUUACGUUAUAUGCUUUACUUAUUCCCAUUCAUAUGCCCACAAAAUUGUUGGCCUUGGUUGCAGUAGCACAACACCACUGGCACAUGUUCAGCUCAGGAUCAUUAUAUAACAGUCUUCUGCAGCACUGCUGCCUGGCCACUCAUUUCCCGUUGUUAUAUGUUGCAGCUGAUAACGCCUACCUAUACGUAUGCUUCUCUGCUUCUCAACUGCUGGAAAUACGGUAUUUCUAGGCUACUCCAACACUUCAUCAAGAUCGUUUUCCACUCUAAGCCUUGCUUUAGCACACUUGUUCUAGUCUAUAAAUUUAUUAAACCUACUUUCUGGCCUUUCAUUCACAUUAUCUGUGAGAAUACUCAGUAAUACCAGAACAAGUUAAAAUGUUUGCAGAACAGCACUUAAUGGUAUACCAUUGCCAACUGCUCUCUGUAUAUAGUUCCAAAUUACUUAUGCACUCACUUCACAAUAAUUUAUUCUAGCUCAGUUUCCCUAGAACACAUGAGCAUAUAAACAACUAAAAUAUAUUGCCAUACAGCCUUAUUCAAAUAAAGCAGGUAAUACUAUUAGAUCUUUUAAAAUUAAGUACAGUACGCUCUUCGAGAACGAAAGCAUUAUAUAGAAAAAAUUAAACUGAAAACAUGAUCUCGCUAAUAACUGAUUGUACAUCCAUAUAGCUACUUUCAUGAAGCAUGUGCUCUACUGGAAUAUUGUUCAAUUAGGGCUUAAUGGAACUCUCUGGCAGCCUUUUAAAACUGUUUUUUCUUCAAUAGAAAUCUCCACUUAGAAAACAGCAAAGAUAUAUCACUACAACACUUCAACUGGAAAUAAGUUGGUUGUACAGCAUCAGAAAAUACCAAGUUGCAAAAUUACUAUUCAUCUUGCAUAAGUUCUUGAUCAGAAACAUACUGAGCAGAGAGCACAAACAUCCACAGAGCCAGCUAUAACGACACUUCUCAUAGAAAGGAUUUCCACUUAUGUUAAUCUUAAUGGAGACGCAUGACAGCUGCACAAAUACAGGACACACAGAUCACUCUUCCUACCUAAUACAGUUUAUUUACCAGAUUUUUUUCUAUUUCUAAUUCUAUGCCAUAUUCUUUCUAUGCUAUCUAAGCCACUCACAACAGUGAAAUAGCUUGCUCCCUGAAGUGGAGCCAGAGCUCUUGGUUCUUUCCCAGUGAUAUGAAACAUGGUAUUUUCAGUUCUGAACUAGAAACACUGGAAGCUAGCAGAAGUUGAAACACAAAUCUAAAUACAACACAAAGCCAACUAUUAAGUAACAAGAAAUUUCAUUUGAUUUGGUAUUUAGGCUCUACUUUAUUAAAUUUCCAGGAAGAGAAGAGAAAAAACUGACUCUCAAAAACAUGAUUACAGAAAGACAAUAGCAUAUACAGAACAUAAAAAUGUUUCCUAUUUUCUUCAGCAGAAAAGGCAAUGUGAGGAGAGAUGGCCCUGUCUGCCU
ensembl:lncRNA